GGUUAAGCGACUAAGCGUACACGGUGGAUGCCCUGGCAGUCAGAGGCGAUGAAGGACGUGCUAAUCUGCGAUAAGCGUCGGUAAGGUGAUAUGAACCGUUAUAACCGGCGAUUUCCGAAUGGGGAAACCCAGUGUGAUU
rnacentral:rRNA from 1 species